CCUAUGCAUCUACUUGUGUUAAAGAGAGUGUUGCAAGAAAUUAACUACUUACAGAAGAUAAAUCGACAAGAAAGGACAGAGGAGGACUUGACAAAAAUCGAGCAGGUGGGCAGACACUGAAAUUUUUCAGGAGACUGAGCUUGUGGGCAAGUCACUUGGAAGAAGUUCAAACGUCAUGUAUAUUACUGAUGUUGACAACUCUAACUGCAGGACACAGGAGAAGCAAUCCUAGCUGGGGUAGAGCUGGCAUUUUCAAGAGAUGUAAGCUGUCCAGCAAUGAAGAGUUCUGUGUGAAAAACCAGAGGAGGUACUGGUACAAGAGAACAUGAGGAAGGCAGAAAAGGAAAAUAUGUGUAUUUUAGCACUGUUUGCAGAGUUCAAGUCAUUGCUUGGGUAAACAAAAGCUCGUUGUAUGUUCAGUGGUUCACUCUUCCAAUAAUCUUGUUUUUUGGGUGUGGA
rnacentral:lncRNA from 1 species